rnacentral:rRNA from 1 species
GGACUUCGGUCUGGUGGCGAGUGGCGAACGGGUGAGUAAUGUAUCGGAACGUACCUUUCAGUGGGGGAUAACGUAGCGAAAGUUACGCUAAUACCGCAUAUUCUGUGAGCAGGAAAGCAGGGGAUCGCAAGACCUUGCGCUGAUUGAGCGGCCGAUAUCAGAUUAGCUAGUUGGUGAGGUAAAGGCUCACCAAGGCGACGAUCUGUAGCGGGUCUGAGAGGAUGAUCCGCCACACUGGAACUGAGACACGGUCCAGACUCCUACGGGAGGCAGCAGUGGGGAAUUUUGGACAAUGGGGGCAACCCUGAUCCAGCCAUGCCGCGUGAGUGAAGAAGGCCUUCGGGUUGUAAAGCUCUUUCGGCCGGGAAGAAAUCGCAUGGGUUAAUACCCUGUGCGGAUGACGGUACCGGCAUAAGAAGCACCGGCUAACUACGUGCCAGCAGCCGCGGUAAUACGUAGGGUGCGAGCGUUAAUCGGAAUUACUGGGCGUAAAGCGUGCGCAGGCGGUUUUUUAAGACAGGCGUGAAAUCCCCGGGCUCAACCUGGGAACUGCGCUUGUGACUGGAAGGCUAGAGUAUGGCAGAGGGGGGUGGAAUUCCACGUGUAGCAGUGAAAUGCGUAGAGAUGUGGAGGAACACCAAUGGCGAAGGCAGCCCCCUGGGCCAAUACUGACGCUCAUGCACGAAAGCGUGGGUAGCAAACAGGAUUAGAUACCCUGGUAGUCCACGCCCUAAACGAUGUC